AGCUUGCUUUUUAGUUAGCGGCGGACGGGUGAGUAACACGUGGGCAACCUGCCUGUAAGACUGGGAUACUUCGGGAAACCGGAGCUAAUACCGGAUAACUCUUUCCUACUCAUGUAGGAAAGCUGAAAGACGGCAUCUCGCUGUCACUUACAGAUGGGCCCGCGGCGCAUUAGCUAGUUGGUGAGGUAACGGCUCACCAAGGCGACGAUGCGUAGCCGACCUGAGAGGGUGAUCGGCCACACUGGGACUGAGACACGGCCCAGACUCCUACGGGAGGCAGCAGUAGGGAAUCUUCCGCAAUGGACGAAAGUCUGACGGAGCAACGCCGCGUGAGUGAUGAAGGUUUUCGGAUCGUAAAACUCUGUUGUUAGGGAAGAACAAGUACGAGAGUAACUGCUCGUACCUUGACGGUACCUAACCAGAAAGCCACGGCUAACUACGUGCCAGCAGCCGCGGUAAUACGUAGGUGGCAAGCGUUGUCCGGAAUUAUUGGGCGUAAAGCGCGCGCAGGCGGUCCUUUAAGUCUGAUGUGAAAGCCCACGGCUCAACCGUGGAGGGUCAUUGGAAACUGGGGGACUUGAGUGCAGAAGAGGAGAGUGGAAUUCCACGUGUAGCGGUGAAAUG
rnacentral:rRNA from 1 species